rnacentral:lncRNA from 1 species
GUUACUCUUAGUAUUUGAUAACCUUCCUGCAACGACAGACUCUCAAGGAUUCUGGCCUCAGCGCAGCUCCUUGACAGCUUGCAUCGCUGCCUCGCGAGUCUACGAGACACUCUAAAGAUUACAGGUUGCGGCGUGCAGGGAUAGGCCUACCUUUGCAAUGGCCAAGUUUGACGAUCUGCUGACACAUCUGGGAACCGGAAGGUGGAACUUGCUCUACGCAUGCGCCAUGGGUUACUGGUCAAUGCAAAUUCCCUACCACAGCAUGGGCGCCGCUUUCCUAACCCCGCACAUGGACUUUGCAUGCCACCAUAACUCCCAUGUGGACUCGCCUACAAACAGGUAAAAUCAUCUCUUGGGCGUCAGUGGGAUGUAAUGAUUAUAGGACUUCGUUAGUGUUAGCUAUGUUAUGGUUGUGAUGAUGUAGAUAUGGUUAAAAUAGUUUUAGUUAUGUUAUGGUUGUGAUGAUAUAGUUAUAGUUUUAAUAGUGUUGAUCAUGUUAUAGGUGUG